rnacentral:rRNA from 1 species
UGGGGAAUCUUGCACAAUGGGGGAAACCCUGAUGCAGCGACGCCGCGUGAGCGAUGAAGCCCUUCGGGGUGUAAAGCUCUUUCGGCGGGAACGAUUAUGACGGUACCCGCAGAAGAAGCUGCGGCUAACUACGUGCCAGCAGCCGCGGUAAUACGUAGGCAGCAAGCGUUGUUCGGAGUUACUGGGCGUAAAGAGUAUGUAGGCGGUUUGCCAAGUCCUGUGUGAAAUCUCCCGGCUCAACUGGGAGGGUGCGCCGGAUACUGGCAGGCUCGAGUGCGGGAGAGGAAAGCGGAAUUCCUGGUGUAGCGGUGAAAUGCGUAGAUAUCAGGAGGAACACCUGCGGUGUAGACGGCUUUCUGGACCGCCACUGACGCUGAGAUACGAAAGCGUGGGUAGCAAACAGG